CGACAGGCUUAACACAUGCAAGUCGAGGGGCAGCGGUGGUGAAGGCUUGCCUUUACCAGCCGGCGACCGGCGCACGGGUGAGUAACACGUAUGCAACCUGCCUGCCACAGCCGGAUAAUCGGGAGAAAUUCCGUCUAAUACGGCAUAAUGCACCUAUGGGACAUCCUGUUGGUGCCAAAGGUUGAUUCCGGUGGCGGAUGGGCAUGCGUCGCAUUAGUUAGUUGGCGGUGUAACGGACCACCAAGACGACGAUGCGUAGGGGUUCUGAGAGGAAGGUCCCCCACACUGGUACUGAGACACGGACCAGACUCCUACGGGAGGCAGCAGUGAGGAAUAUUGGUCAAUGGGCGGGAGCCUGAACCAGCCAAGUCGCGUGAGGGAUGACGGCCCUAUGGGUUGUAAACCUCUUUUGCCGGGGAGCAAAGUGCCGCACGUGUGCGGUUUGGAGAGUACCCGGAGAAAAAGCAUCGGCUAACUCCGUGCCAGCAGCCGCGGUAAUACGGAGGAUGCGAGCGUUAUCCGGAUUUAUUGGGUUUAAAGGGUGCGUAGGCGGACGCUUAAGUCAGCGGUAAAAUUGCGGGGCUCAACCUCGUCGAGCCGUUGAAACUGGGUGCCUUGAGUGGGCGAGAAGUACGCGGAAUGCGUGGUGUAGCGGUGAAAUGCAUAGAUAUCACGCAGAACUCCGAUUGCGAAGGCAGCGUACCGGCGCCCAACUGACGCUGAAGCACGAAGGCGUGGGUAUCGAACAGGAUUAGAUACCCUGGUAGUCCACGCAGUAAACGAUGAAUGCUAGUUGUCCGGGGCGAUUGAGUUCUGGGUGACACAGCGAAAGCGUUAAGCAUUCCACCUGGGGAGUACGCCGGCAACGGUGAAACUCAAAGGAAUUGACGGGGGCCCGCACAAGCGGAGGAACAUGUGGUUUAAUUCGAUGAUACGCGAGGAACCUUACCCGGGCUCAAACGCAGGAGGGAUGUUUUUGAAAGGAGGCAGCCAGCAAUGGUCUCCUGCGAGGUGCUGCAUGGUUGUCGUCAGCUCGUGCCGUGAGGUGUCGGCUUAAGUGCCAUAACGAGCGCAACCCCUACCUACAGUUGCCAUCGCGUGAUGGCGGGCACUCUGUGGGGACUGCCUGCGCAAGCAGUGAGGAAGGCGGGGAUGACGUCAAAUCAGCACGGCCCUUACGUCCGGGGCGACACACGUGUUACAAUGGCAGGUACAGCGGGAAGCCACCCGGCGACGGGGCGCGGAACCCGAAAACCUGUCUCAGUUCGGAUUGGAGUCUGCAACCCGACUCCAUGAAGCUGGAUUCGCUAGUAAUCGCACAGCAGCCCCGGCGCGGUGAAUACGUUCCCGG
rnacentral:rRNA from 1 species